AGAGUUUUAUCCUGGGCUCAGGACGAACCGCUGGCGGCGUGGCUUAACACAUGCAAAUGGAACGAAAAGACGAAAAGAGCUUGUUCUUUUCAGAAAUUGAGUGACAAACGGGUGGAGUAACACGUUAACAACCUGCUUCAAGGAUGGGGGACAACAGACGGAAACGACUGCUAAUACCGAAUAAGUUCCAAGAGCCGCAUGGCCCAUGGAAGAAAAGGUGGCCUCUACCUGUAAGCUAUCGCCUGAAGAGGGGUUUGCGUCUGAUUAGCUGGUUGGAGGGGUAACGGCCCACCAAGGCGACGAUCAGUAGCCGGUCUGAGAGGAUGAACGGCCACACUGGAACUGAGACACGGUCCAGACUCCUACGGGAGGCAGCAGUGGGGAAUCUUCCGCAAUGGGCGAAAGCCUGACGGAGCAACGCCGCGUGAGUGAUGACGGCCUUCGGGUAGUAAAACUCUGUGAUCCGGGACGAAAAGGCAGAGUGCGAAGAACAAACUGCAUUGACGGUACCGGAAAAGCAAGCCACGGCUAACUACGUGCCAGCAGCCGCGGUAAUACGUAGGUGGCAAGCGUUGUCCGGAAUUAUUGGGCGUAAAGCGCGCGCAGGCGGCUUCCCAAGUCCCUCUUAAAAGUGCGGGGCUUAACCCCGUGAUGGGAAGGAAACUGGGAAGCUAGAGUAUCGGAGAGGAAAGUGGAAUUCCUAGUGUAGCGGUGAAAUGCGUAGAGAUUAGGAAGAACACCGGUGGCGAAGGCGACUUUCUGGACGAAAACUGACGCUGAGGCGCGAAAGCGUGGGGAGC
rnacentral:rRNA from 1 species